GAGUUUGAUCUUGGCUCAGAUUGAACGCUGGCGGCAUGCCUUACACAUGCAAGUCGAACGGCAGCAUGAUCUAGCUUGCUAGAUUGAUGGCGAGUGGCGAACGGGUGAGUAAUACAUCGGAACGUGCCCUGUAGUGGGGGAUAACUAGUCGAAAGAUUAGCUAAUACCGCAUACGACCUGAGGGUGAAAGUGGGGGACCUCAAGGCCUCAUGCUAUAGGAGCGGCCGAUGUCUGAUUAGCUAGUUGGUGGGGUAAAGGCCCACCAAGGCGACGAUCAGUAGCUGGUCUGAGAGGACGAUCAGCCACACUGGGACUGAGACACGGCCCAGACUCCUACGGGAGGCAGCAGUGGGGAAUUUUGGACAAUGGGCGAAAGCCUGAUCCAGCAAUGCCGCGUGUGUGAAGAAGGCCU
rnacentral:rRNA from 1 species